GAUGAACGCUGGCGGCGUGCCUAAUACAUGCAAGUCGAGCGAACGGACGAGAAGCUUGCUUCUCUGAUGUUAGCGGCGGACGGGUGAGUAACACGUGGAUAACCUACCUUUAAGACUGGGAUAACUUCGGGAAACCGGAUCUAAUACCGGAUGAUAUUUUGAACCGCAUGGUUCAAAAGUGAAAGACGGUCUUGCUUUCACUUAUAGAUGGAUCUGCGCUGCAUUAGCUAGUUGGUAAGGUAACGGCUUACCAAGGCAACGAUGCAUAGCCGACCUGAGAGGGUGAUCGGCCACACUGGAACUGAGCCCCGGUCCAGACUCCUACGGGAGGCAGCAGUAGGGAAUCUUCCGCAAUGGGCGAAAGCCUGACGGAGCACCGCCGCGUGAGUGAUGAAGGUCUUCGGAUCGUAAAACUCUGUUAUUAGGGAAGAACAUAUGUGUAAGUAACUGUGCACAUAUUGACGGUACCUACUCAGAAAGCCACGGCUAACUACGUG
rnacentral:rRNA from 1 species